UCGAGAGGCUUUGGCAAUGGGGGCAACCCUGACCAAGCGACGCCGCGUGGAGGAUGAAGGCCCUUGGGUUGUAAACUCCUUUUGUUGGGGAAGAAAUGCGAUCAGGUGAACAAUCUGGUCGUUUGACGGUACCCGACGAAUAAGCUCCGGCUAACUCCGUGCCAGCAGCCGCGGUAACACGGGGGGAGCAAGCGUUGUUCGGAAUCACUGGGCGUAAAGGGCGUGUAGGCGGUCGAGUAAGUGGGAUGUGAAAUGCCCCGGCUCACCCGGGGACCGGCAUCUCAAACUGCUUGGCUAGAGUACGGGAGAGGAUGAGGGAAUUCCUGGUGUAGCGGUGAAAUGCGUAGAUAUCAGGAGGAACACCGGUGGCGAAAGCGCUCAUCUGGCCCGAUACUGACGCUGAGGCGCGAAAGCUAGGGGAGCAAACGGG
rnacentral:rRNA from 1 species